GACCAAUCAAGCAUGGCUUGGUAUUGGGGUCUGCCGGUGGCAGCCCUUAAAAACAGUGGCGGUGCCGUCUGGCUCUCAGCGUAAUAACUUUUCUCGCUAUUGGGCCUGGGUGGUUGCUUGCCAACAACCCCUAAUUUAUUCA
rnacentral:misc_RNA from 1 species